rnacentral:rRNA from 1 species
UACGUAGGGUGCGAGCGUUGUCCGGAAUUACUGGGCGUAAAGAGCUCGUAGGUGGUUUGUCGCGUUGUUCGUGAAAUCCCACGGCUUAACUGUGGGCGUGCGGGCGAUACGGGCAGACUGGAGUACUGCAGGGGAGACUGGAAUUCCUGGUGUAGCGGUGAAAUGCGCAGAUAUCAGGAGGAACACCGGUGGCGAAGGCGGGUCUCUGGGCCGAUACUGACGCUGGAGGAGCGAAAAGCGUGGGGAGCGAACAGG